UAUACCCCCGAAUAUAUCCAGGGAAUAUCACGUGAAGACUGUUGUGCGAAAGUGGACAAGGCAAAAGGAAUAAACAGUAAUUAGAACAGUAAAUUCUAUUGUAGCCAGGACAAUUAUUGAAGGCAGCAGCGCCGUCCAGCUGUGCAGGCAACAGUAAAGGAGAAUAAUUGAAGAUGCCGGGUGUCCAGGCGCUUCCUUAAGCCCGAAGGCUCCUCCCGUCUAUAAAAGGAGAAGCCAGAUGCACACAUUCAUCGCCGGACCAAGAAGAGGAGCGAAGACACCGACCGCCGAAUACUCAGAGCGCAUCCACCACCACUCCACCUAAUUAGUAGCCACCUCACUCCCAUUGUAAUAUAGAAAUAAGGGAGAAGCUGUCAUCGUCCCGCGUUUGUAAGCUUGAAUUUUUGAAUUUUUUCCGCUUUCAUGUUCCACUAUACUGGUAUCACAAGCCAGAGUGUUUGCUUGAUGUCUGCGACAUCAAUCAUUUGGGCGUGGAAGACUAUACCCCCGAAUAUCUUCAGGAAAUAUCACGUGAAGAAAGUUGUGCAGAAGUGGACAAGGCAAAAGAAAUAAACAGUAAUUAGAACAGUAAAUUCUACUGAAGUCAGGACAAUUAUUGAAGGCAGCAGCGCCGUCCAGCUGUCCAGACAACAUUAAAGGAGAAUAAUUGAAGACACCGGGUGUCCAGGCGCUUCCUUAAGCCAGAAGGCUCCUCCCGUCUAUAAAAGGAGAAGCCAGGCGCACGCACUCAUCGCCAGAAGAAGAAGAGAGACGGAACAAGAAGAGAAGAGAAGACACCGACUGCUGAAUACUCAGAGCGUAUCCACCACCACUCCACCUAAUUAGUAGCCAUCUCACUCCCAUUGUAAUAUAGAAAUAAGGGAGAAGCCAUGAUCGUCCCGCGUUUGUAAGGUAAUCCCUAAGGUUGUGUAAGUGCUUGGGGUUUCCCAAAAGGGAAAGCCGUAUGUAAGUUUGCUCUGUGGAAAUGGAUUAAGCUUUCCUGA